GAGAAGAUGGCGGCCGCCGUUCGCCCGCGGGUCGUCCGGGCUCUGCCAAUGUCGCGUUCUACUAUCACUGCAAUCGCCACAUGUGUGUUUCAUGGCUCACCCUGUCGCCACCUUCAUCAUGCUCUCAUACCUCAUGGAAAGGUGGGCAUUCCUCCGUCAGUGGAUUUGUGGCCACUGUGUUUGAAGCAACUGGAUUCCUGGGCCACUGUGUGGUCAACCACCUUGGACGUAUGGGGUCACAGGUGAUAAUACCCUAUCGCUGUGACACAUAUGACAUCAUGCAUCUUCGUCCCAUGGGUGACCUGGGUCAACUUAUCUUUCUGAAGCUUAACCCUUUCCAAGUUCAUUAUGACUUAUCCAACAACAAUGUGAUCAUCAAUUUUGUUGUACGAGACUGGGAAACCAAAAACUUUGAUUUUGAGGAUGUUUUUGUGAAGAUUCCCCAAGCAAUUGCUCAAGUGUCCAAGGAAGCUGGAGUAGAAAAAUUCAUUCAUAUUUCACAUCUGAAUGCUGAUAUUAAAAGUUCUUCUAGAUAUUUGAGACAUAAGGCUGUUAGAGAGAAAGUAGUGAGAGACGCCUUUCCAGAAGCAACUAUCAUAAAACCAUUAGACAUCUUUGGAAGAGAGGGUAGAAUUCUCAAUCAUUUUGCAAGUACGUAUUCUUUCUUAAUAGAAGAAGAGAGGGAUACUAAUAAACAAAAAAUUUAUGUUGUAGAUGUAUCCAAAGGAAUUGUUAAUGUGGUUAAGGAUCCAGAUGCCAAAUGGAAAACAUUUGCGUUUGUUGGGCCAAACUAGUGCCUCCUCUUUGACCUGGUCAGUACAUCUUUGCUUGGCUCACAGGCCCUUCCUUGCAUACCCUUUGCCACGUUUUGCCUAUUGGUUGGUAGCAAGACUGUUUGAAAUUAGCCCGUUUGAGCCCUGGACAACGAGGGAUAAAGUGGAGCAGAUUCACAUCCCAGACAAGACAUUGCCUCACCUGCCCGGCUUAGAAGACCUUGGCGUUCAGGCAACCCCACUGGAGCUCAAGGCCAUCGAGGUGCUGCGGCGUCACCGCACAUACCGCUGGCUGUCUGCCGAAAUCGAGGAUGUGAAGCCGGCCAAGACGGUCAACGUUUAGUCGAGCAGCCCUUGGGUCUUGGUGUUGUUUGGGUCUCCUCGCUAGUGACCGGCCUACAUUCUUUAGAGAACCCUGUACACAGCAAAUAAGGUUCCUCUAGUAAAAGAUCUGAGGUUGAAUUCUGCAGUAUUUCCUUUCUUGAUUUAUAAAAGGAGAAAUUUAAUCAUUGAGAACUUCAGCGUAAUUUUCUUUAGAUACGAGUUUAAUGACAUUUAUUGUUUAUUUUCUGAAAUGCCAGAGGGUUUGAAUUUCCCUACGUCAGGCUACUUCUAGCAUAUGUCCUAGCAGACAGGGAUCCCUUUUUAAUGUCUAAUUAUUGUGAAGACCCAAGUGUUGUGUCUAAAUCUCCAUUAAAUGAGAAAAUAUACAGUG